AUCCCUUGUAAACCCACCUGUUUCUCUAGGGUAGCUCUGCUCAAACUGGGGGUCUGCCCCCUCCUCCCCGAGCGGGCUGGGACCAGCCCCCAGCGGGGGCGGGAGGGCGGGGACUCCGAGGCUGUGGGGAAGCAAAGAGGGGCUGCUGUCUCGGCAGGCAGAGCGGGGGCCCUGCGCCCCUGCACCCCGCGGGAGGCGAGCGUGUGAGCCGGGGGCGGGGGGCAGAGCCCAGGGCGGGGGGAGAGGAUGGGGGUGCACUAAUUUGCAAAGAGUGGACGGGCCAAAUGCAGCCUUUCUCCCGCCCCCCAGCCCCACCCACUAGGUUCUCAGCCAAUCACAUGCAGAAAGCAUCUCGGCGCGGGGUCUUCCCACUCUGACCAGGCACCCGCCUGGCGUUCC